rnacentral:rRNA from 1 species
UAGAUACCCGGGUAGUCCAUGCCGUAAACGGUGGGCACUAGGUGUGGGGACUUUCAACGGUUUCCGUGCCGAAGCUAACGCAUUAAGUGCCCCGCCUGGGGAGUACGGCCGCAAGGCUAAAACUCAAAGGAAUUGACGGGGGCCCGCACAAGCGGCGGAGCAUGUUGCUUAAUUCGAGGCAACGCGAAGAACCUUACCUGGGUUUGACAUGUACCGGACAGCCAUAGAGAUAUGGUUUCCUUCGGGUCGGUACACAGGUGGUGCAUGGCCGCCGUCAGAAG